rnacentral:rRNA from 1 species
UACGAAGGGGGCUAGCGUUGUUCGGAAUUACUGGGCGUAAAGCGCACGCAGGCGGAUGCGCGCGUGGGGUGUGAAAUCUGGCCGCUUAACGGCCAGGCGCCAUCCCAUACGGCGCGUCUGGAGUGCUGCAGAGGUCGAUGGAAUUGCCGGUGUAGUGGUGAAAUGCGUAGAUAUCGGGAGGAACACCUGUGGCGAAAGCGGCGCACUGGACCACAACUGACGCUGAGGCGCGAAAGCUAGGGGAGCAAACAGG